GGAAGGAUCAUUAACACGAUUCUUUCAAUUUUAACCUUGGGUGCACUUGUGACUCUGUCUUUUUUAAAUCCCAUUUUUUAACAUUUUAUUUUUGAAAGAUUUAAAAUGGCCUUGGAUUCGUUCAAGGGCAAUUCUUAAAUCACAAAAAAACAACUGCUAACAUUGGAUGUCUUGGUUCUCGCAACGAUGAAGAACGCAGCGAAAUGCGAUAAGUAAUGUGAAUCGUAGAAUUCAGUGAAUCAUCAAAUCUUUGAACGCAAAUGGCGCUCUUGGGCACUCCCAGGAGUAUGCCUGUUUGAGAAUCAUUUCUCCAUCUCAUUUCUUAAAUUUAUUUUUAAGAAAUGGCUACUGAGCGUCAUUUUCUAAAUGGAAAUGUCGUUCCAAGCGCAUAAUGCCUAAUUUCAUUUAGACAUAAGAGCCAGGUGAGGAUUAAUUUCCACAUCUUCAGCUUUUUCCUGCCUUCAUGGAAGUGCAUUUCUACUUACUAAUAAACAAACCAUGAUCUCAAAUCAGGCAAGGCGACCCGCCGAAUUGAAGCAUCUCAAUAAGCGGAGGAAAAGAAACUAACUAGGAUUCCCCUAGUAACGGCGAGUGAAGCGGGAAAAGCUCAAUCUUUAAACCGAAGGGUUCUGCUCUUCGGGUUGUAGAUUAUAGAGGCGUUUUCGAGGGAAAUCCCAGGUAUAAGUCUUCUGGAAAGGGGCAUCAUAGAGGGUGACAAUCCCGUAUAUGAUCUGGGCAUUUUUCUCAUACGAAGCGCUUUCGAAGAGUCGAGUUGCUUGGGAAUGCAGCUCUAAACGGGUGGUAAAUUUCAUCUAAAGCUAAAUAUGGGCGAGAGACCGAUAGCGAACAAGUACCGCGAGGGAAAGAUGAAAAGAACUUUGAAAAGAGGGUCAAAAGGGCCUGAAAUUGUUAGCAGGGAAACGAUUAAAACUCGGCAUACGCUGUGGGAUAAGGCUGAGCCUUUGGCGGUUCCGCCAUCUAGGCGAUCGCAAGACGCUUGGGGUGGUGUAACUGUUCACGGCUUGGUCUCUUUUCCCAUGGCGUGCGCCAACAUCAGUCAGCGUCUUCAGGUGACGUCUGCUGGGAAGGUAGGUUGGCCCAAAAGGCUGACUGUUAUAGCCCAGUGGAAAUACUGUUGGGUUGACUGAGGUAAAAUCUUUCAGCGCCGCGCUUAGCUUGAGUCACCAGGUCUGUUUGUCUUUGGGUUGCUGGACAGCCUAGCUGUGCGGUGCCCAGUGGCAAUCAGUGCUUGGCUGUCUUUCAUACGCGCGCUCAAGAUGUUGGCACAACGGUUUUAACCGACCCGUCUUGAAACACGGACCAAGGAGUCUAACAUAUAUGCGAGUAUUUGGGUGUCAAACCCAAGUGCGGAAUGAAAGUGAACUAUGGUGCGAGCCAUUGCUCCGCAUUGGUGCAGCAUCGACCGAUCUGGAGGUUUUCUGAAAGAUUUGAGUAAGAGCAUAUCUGUUGGGACCCGAAAGAUGGUGAACUAUGCCUGAAGAGGAUGAAGCCAGAGGAAACUCUGGUGGAGGUCCGUAGCGGUUCUGACGUGCAAAUCGAUCGUCAAUUUGGGUAUAGAGGCGAAAGACUAAUCGAACCAUCUAGUAGCUGGUUCCCUC
rnacentral:misc_RNA from 1 species